GCAUCCUUAGCUCAGUGGAUAGAGCAGUAGCCUUCUAAGCUAUUGGUCGUAGGUUCAAAUCCUACAGGGUGCG
rnacentral:tRNA from 1 species